rnacentral:rRNA from 1 species
UACGAAGGGGGCUAGCGUUGUUCGGAAUCACUGGGCGUAAAGCGCACGCAGGCGGGUCGUUAAGUCAGGGGUGAAAUCCCGAGGCUCAACCUCGGAACUGCCUUUGAUACUGGCGACCUUGGAGUCCGGGAGAGGUGAGUGGAACUGCGAGUGUAGAGGUGAAAUUCGUAGAUAUUCGCAAGAACACCAGUGGCGAAGGCGGCUCACUGGCCCGGUACUGACGCUGAGGUGCGAAAGCGUGGGGAGCAAACAGG